UACAGAGGUCUCAAGCGUUGUUCGGAUUCAUUGGGCGUAAAGGGUGCGUAGGUGGCGCCGUAAGUCGGGGUGUGAAAUCUCGGAGCUUAACUCCGAAACUGCAUUCGAUACUGCCGUGCUUGAGGACUGGAGAGGAGACUGGGAUUUACGGUGUAGCGGUGAAAUGCGUAGAUAUCGUAAGGAAGACCAGUGGCGAAGGCGGGUCUCUGGACAGUUCCUGACGCUGAGGCACGAAGGCCAGGGGAGCAAACGGG
rnacentral:rRNA from 1 species